rnacentral:rRNA from 1 species
UGCGCAGGCGGUGGCUCAAGUCAGAUGUGAAAUCCCUAGGCUUAACCUGGGAAUUGCAUUUGAAACUAGGUCGCUAGAGUUUGGCAGAGGGGGGUGGAAUUCCACGUGUAGCAGUGAAAUGCGUAGAGAUGUGGAGGAACACCGAUGGCGAAGGCAGCCCCCUGGGCUAAAACUGACGCUCAUGCACGAAAGCGUGGGGAGCAAACAGGAUUAGAUACCCUGGUAGUCCACGCCCUAAACCAUGUCAACUAGUUGUCGGGAGAGCAAUCACUCGGUAACGCAGCUAACGCGUGAAGUUGACCGCCUGGGGAGUACGGUCGCAAGAUUAAA